rnacentral:rRNA from 1 species
UGCAGUCGAACGGAGCUUAGAGAGCUUGCUUUUUAAGCUUAGUGGCGAACGGGUGAGUAACGCGUGAGUAACCUGCCCUAGAGUGGGGGACAACAGUUGGAAACGACUGCUAAUACCGCAUAAGCCCACGGUACCGCAUGGUACUGAGGGAAAAGGAUUUAUUCGCUUUAGGAUGGACUCGCGUCCAAUUAGCUAGUUGGUGAGGUAACGGCCCACCAAGGCGACGAUUGGUAGCCGGACUGAGAGGUUGAACGGCCACAUUGGGACUGAGACACGGCCCAGACUCCUACGGGAGGCAGCAGUGGGGGAUAUUGCACAAUGGGGGAAACCCUGAUGCAGCGACGCCGCGUGGAGGAAGAAGGUUUUCGGAUUGUAAACUCCUGUCGUUAGGGACGAUAAUGACGGUACCUAACAAGAAAGCACCGGCUAACUACGUGCCAGCAGCCGCGGUAAAACGUAGGGUGCAAGCGUUGUCCGGAAUUACUGGGUGUAAAGGGAGCGCAGGCGGGAAGACAAGUUGGAAGUGAAAACCAUGGGCUCAACCCAUGAAUUGCUUUCAAAACUGUUUUUCUUGAGUAGUGCAGAGGUAGAUGGAAUUCCCGGUGUAGCGGUGGAAUGCGUAGAUAUCGGGAGGAACACCAGUGGCGAAGGCGGUCUACUGGGCACCAACUGACGCUGAGGCUCGAAAGCAUGGGUAGCAAACAGGAUUAGAUACCCUGGUAGUCCAUGCCGUAAACGAUGAUUACUAGGUGUUGGGGGAUUGACCCCCUCAGUGCCGCAGUUAACACAAUAAGUAAUCCACCUGGGGAGUACGACCGCAAGGUUGAAACUCAAAGGAAUUGACGGGGGCCCGCACAAGCAGUGGAGUAUGUGGUUUAAUUCGAAGCAACGCGAAGAA